rnacentral:rRNA from 1 species
AGGACGAACGCUGGCGGCGUGCUUAACACAUGCAAGUCGAACGGAAAGGCCCUUCGGGGUACUCGAGUGGCGAACGGGUGAGUAACACGUGGGUGAUCUGCCCUGCACUUCGGGAUAAGCCUGGGAAACUGGGUCUAAUACCGGAUAUGACUACGAAUCGCAUGGUUUGUGGUGGAAAGCUUUUGCGGUGUGGGAUGGGCCCGCGGCCUAUCAGCUUGUUGGUGGGGUGAUGGCCUACCAAGGCGACGACGGGUAGCCGGCCUGAGAGGGUGUCCGGCCACACUGGGACUGAGAUACGGCCCAGACUCCUACGGGAGGCAGCAGUGGGGAAUAUUGCACAAUGGGCGCAAGCCUGAUGCAGCGACGCCGCGUGAGGGACUGACGGCCUUCGGGUUGUAACCUCUUCAUGGGACGAAGCGCAAGUGACGGUACUAUAGAAGAAGGACCGGCCAACUACGUGCCAGCAGCCGC